GCCGCCGCCCCUCACAAGCAGAGGAAUGGCGACCACGUCGCCCCUCCCUCUUCUCCACCGCCGUCCUAGAUUUUCCGUCGUGACUCCCAUCAUGAUCCGCGGCAGAGCCACCUUGCCCAGUAUGCUGAGAUGGACAGACUCGCGGCGGCGCUCGUUCCAUGAUGAACUGGUAAACGGCACCCCUCUCCUCCCGAGGCGGCUGGCAGCGUGGAGGAGCUCGGCGCCUUCCACUCCCUCCCAAGGCGGCGCCGUUUCAAGCCUGGGGGAUCCGACGCGGUCGGUGCUCGCUCACGAUGUGGACGCCUCCAACGACAAGAGGAUCCACAACUUCAUCGUCGGUGCCUUCCUCGACCUACUCGCCACGUACCUCAUCUCCCUCCACCGUGAAGAAAAGCAACGACGCCGCUCCAGAUCCGCCAGAGAGGUAUGGUCUAUCUAUCCAAUCCAACGCUGUGAACAAGAUCCAUUACACAUGCACUUGCUGAUUGCGGCCGUGUGGCCUAUCUACCCGGUGCCGGAUCCGAAGGCUACCGUUCGAGAUGGAGCGGCUCCACCCCUAGAAGAACGGGCCACACCUUGUGUUGAUGGCUGUUGUCGCUGUUCAGGAGGCUGGUAGCACGAACGGUGAAGCCGUUGUGGUGGUCCUGCUCACCGGCCAGGACAAGCUACGAGAGCAUCUGAUACACGUUGGGUCAACUCUUCUAUAGAGGGCCACACUAACAAGUAACUCAGGAUCAAAAUAGUUUCAGCUUAUUCGUUGGAGUGACUAAAUAUGCAUCUUCGUGAUUUGCUGGCCGUUUGUGCUUCUGUAGAAGUACACAUCACCUGGUUACUUUUAUGUCUUUGCUAUCAAGUAAGACAGUGAUGAAGAAAUGGACAACAGCGAUAUGGAAGGGCGAUGGUUCCUGGCAUGGAGGCUGCUUGGCUUUGGCUGAACUUGCUCGGAGAAGUCUUACACUGAUGUGUGAAGAGGUCCACAUAUCUGCACAACAUUGAUAUUGUGAAUACAACAGACUACUUCGCUCUGGCUUCCCAGAUGAACUCUUAUCUGACUGGGAGUUCCAUGUCAGCUCCAGGUCGAAGAAAGAUGAAGUCUGAUGCCCCACAAAGCAAAGAGUAGCUACUUAUAAUAGUGCCAGUUAUAUUGUAGUGAGGAAACCUGGUUCUGUGAACACUGUAAAAGUCUACUAUGGUAAUUUUGGCUACUAUUUCAAGAA